UCUAUUUCUCUUUAAAUCUCUUACCUCCUACCUUUUCUUAUAUCCUUUUUUCUACUCCUUCUCUUCCAGAUCUUUCUACUUCUCAUCUCACCUCUCACUGGCUGUGACCAUGGCUGCCGUCGUUAGAUGAUUAAAGAAUGGGGUGUUUUAGUUUUGGGUUUUGAAUAUUUGGUUUAAGAAUUUUAAAAAGGGAAAGGAAGACUAUGAAGGUGGGGGCACUGCCGUGAUUUGAAUCAAAUUUUGAAAGUUGUUACUAACUGGGACUUGGGGUACACUUUUUUUUUGUUAUUUAUUUUACCAUCGAAAUUGCCAGAAGUAUACCUACAGAUGGUAUAAUCUGAAAAUGGCUUUUUUUAUUCAUUUAGUGAUGUUAAACUCAAAAAUCUGAUAAUAAUUUUUAUAUUUAUAGUAUAUCAAGUAUACACAUUUUUUUUUAUCUUCGCAACUUUAGAUAAGUGGCCAUAUCAGUGUAAUAUGAAUGUGGGUUGUUAAUUGUAAUGUAAGUCUAUUUAUGGGUUGCAUGUAAUUAUGUUUCUUUUGGGACUGAUUACGCUGCAUAUAGGUUGCAAUGUAUAAACAGUUUUUGAAACUUUAAGUUCUAAAUUAGUUAAAGAUUUAAGUUUUUGGUUGAAUCCCUA